ACAAUCCUGAUGUGUUCGUUGUAAAACUGUACGUUUUGACCGAACAUUUAUGAGAAGGGAGUCCGAAGUUUCUGCAUGGAAUGAAUGCCUCGUUGUAUUUUAUACUUAGAGGACUCAGGAAGUGCAGAACAGGACACCCACCUGCCAGUAGCGGGUUCAAAACUCAUGACACAACGGCACGAUUGGGAUUGUU
rnacentral:other from 1 species